GAUGAACGCCGGCGGUGUGCCUAAUACAUGCAAGUCGAGCGCACUGGCCCAACUGAUAUGACGUGCUUGCACUGAAUUGACGUUGGAUUACCAGUGAGCGGCGGACGGGUGAGUAACACGUGGGCAACCUGCCCUGAAGCGGGGGAUAACAUCUGGAAACAGGUGCUAAUACCGCAUAACAACGAAAACCACAUGGUUUUCGUUUCAAAGAUGGUUUCUGCUAUCACUUCAGGAUGGGCCCGCGGUGCAUUAGCUAGUUGGUAAGGUAACGGCUUACCAAGGCAAUGAUGCAUAGCCGAGUUGAGAGACUGAUCGGCCACAAUGGAACUGAGACACGGUCCAUACUCCUACGGGAGGCAGCAGUAGGGAAUCUUCCACAAUGGGCGCAAGCCUGAUGGAGCAACACCGCGUGAGUGAAGAAGGGUUUCGGCUCGUAAAGCUCUGUUGUUGGAGAAGAACGUGCGUGAGAGUAACUGUUCACGCAGUGACGGUAUCCAACCAGAAAGUCACGGCUAACUACGUGCCAGCAGCCGCGGUAAUACGUAGGUGGCAAGCGUUAUCCGGAUUUAUUGGGCGUAAAGCGAGCGCAGGCGGUUGCUUAGGUCUGAUGUGAAAGCCUUCGGCUUAACCGAAGAAGGGCAUCGGAAACCGGGCGACUUGAGUGCAGAAGAGGACAGUGGAACUCCAUGUGUAGCGGUGGAAUGCGUAGAUAUAUGGAAGAACACCAGUGGCGAAGGCGGCUGUCUGGUCUGCAACUGACGCUGAGGCUCGAAAGCAUGGGUAGCGAACAGG
rnacentral:rRNA from 1 species